AUUGAACGCUGGCGGCAUGCCUUACACAUGCAAGUCGAACGGUAACAGGUUAAGCUGACGAGUGGCGAACGGGUGAGUAAUAUAUCGGAACGUGCCCAGUCGUGGGGGAUAACUGCUCGAAAGAGCAGCUAAUACCGCAUACGACCUGAGGGUGAAAGCGGGGGAUCGCAAGACCUCGCGCGAUUGGAGCGGCCGAUAUCAGAUUAGGUAGUUGGCGGGGACAAGGCCCACCAAGCCAACGAUCUGUAGCUGGUCUGAGAGGACGACCCGCCACACUGGGACUGAGACACGACCCAGGCUCCUACGGGAGGCAGCAGUGGGGAAUUUUGGACAAUGGGCGCAAGCCUGAUCCAGCCAUGCCGCGUGCGGGAAGAAGGCCUUCGGGUUGUAAACCGCUUUUGUCAGGGAAGAAAAGGUUCUGGUUAAUACCUGGGACUCAUGACGGUACCUGAAGAAUAAGCUCCGGCUAACUCCGUGCCAGCCGCCGCCGUAA
rnacentral:rRNA from 1 species